AUACGGAGGGUGCAAGCGUUGUCCGGAUUUAUUGGGUUUAAAGGGUGUGUAGGCGGUGUAUUAAGUCAGUGGUGAAAGCCUGCGGCUCAACCGUAGAACUGCCAUUGAUACUGACACACUUGAGUAUGGACGAGGUAGGCGGAAUUUAUGGUGUAGCGGUGAAAUGCAUAGAUACCAUAAAGAACACCGAUAGCGAAGGCAGCUUACUAGGCCAUAACUGACGCUGAGGCACGAAAGCGUGGGGAGCGAACAGGAUUAGAUACCCCGGUAGUCC
rnacentral:rRNA from 1 species